CCCUGCAGCCAUACUACCACAAGCUGAGAGCUUGUCCGAUCUCGCCGCCAAAGAGGGUCAGGCUGAGUCAUUACAUGGGUAGGAGACCUCGUCGGAAAAUACAGGUGCUAUAGGAA
rnacentral:rRNA from 1 species